rnacentral:rRNA from 1 species
AUUGAACGCUGGCGGCAUACUUUACACAUGCAAGUCGAACGGUAACAGGCCGCAAGGUGCUGACGAGUGGCGAACGGGUGAGUAAUGCAUCGGAACGUGCCCAGUCGUGGGGGAUAACGCAGCGAAAGCUGCGCUAAUACCGCAUACGAUCUGUGGAUGAAAGCGGGGGACCGAAAGGCCUCGCGCGAUUGGAGCGGCCGAUGUCAGAUUAGGUAGUUGGUGGGGUAAAGGCCCACCAAGCCAACGAUCUGUAGCUGGUCUGAGAGGACGACCAGCCACACUGGGACGGAGACACGGCCCAGACUCCUACGGGAGGCAGCAGUGGGGAAUUUUGGACAAUGGGCGCAAGCCUGAUUCAGCAAUGCCGCGCGCAGGAAGAAGGCCUUCGGGUUGUAAACUGCUUUUGUACGCAACGAAACGGCUCUGGUUAAUACCUGGGGCUAAUGACGGUACCGUAAGAAUAAGCACCGGCUAACUACGUGCCAGCAGCCGCCGUAAAAC